rnacentral:rRNA from 1 species
GUCCAUGCGUGCGUGAUGUUCACUUGUGGGCUCACGCGGCGAAACCGCGGACGGCUCAUUAAAUCAGUCGUGGUCCAAAUGGGCUAGAGUUGUUCUACUUGGAUAACUGUGGUAAUUCCAGAGCUAAUACAUGCAACUUGAGGCUCGAUCCGCGGAGCUCACGCUCCAAGGUGACGGCUGCUUUUAUUAGACCAAACCGCUGAGGGUGGGGACUCGCGUCCCUGCCCGUAGACCCGUGUUGUGGUGACUCUGGAUAACACACCUCACAGAUGACAAGCGCACGUAUCCAUUCGCAUGGGACGGCGCUGCCGCUUUCGAGUGUCUGCCUUAUCAGCUGUGUAUCGUUCGUUAUGUGCGAACGAUGGCUUUGACGGGUAACGGGGAAUCAGGGUUCGAUUCCGGAGAGGCAGCCUGAGAAACGGCUACCACGUCCAAGGACGGCAGCAGGCACGCAAAUUACCCAAUCCCAGCCUCUGGGGGAGGUAGUGACGAAAUCUAACGAUGCGGGCGCCCCUUCUGGGGCCCCGCAAUCGGAAUGAGCGCUUUCUAAACAACCCGUUGAGAACCUACUGAAGGGCAAGUCUGGUGCCAGCAGCCGCGGUAAUUCCAGCUUCAGCAGCAUCUACUAAAGUUGCUGCGGUUAAAAGGCUCGCAGUUGAAUGUCAGUAUCAGGUGCAGCGAAGGUGGACGUUGGAGAUUGCAUUGRGGCGUGUGUGUGUCGUGUGACAUCUCYUCDGAGCUCUVGAGCGCGCGCGUGCAUCUCCUCUGCAAGUUCGUAUACCUCCCGUCCGAUUCAAGCCUCCUCACCUGUGUACAGAGUGGAGCCUGUCGGUCGAAGCGGUGCUUGUGCCCUCGUGUGCCUCGUGCUUGUUGGGUGUGCGCGUUGGCGCGUGACANUGUGUUGCGUCUCUCGCGUGUGUGCUCUCUCCGGUGCGAGCGUGUGCGUGCGGUUGCUUCCCGUUCUAGGCCUUGGUUCUGGKGUCACCYUGAGUAAAUCAGAGWGCUCAAAGCASUCGUGAGCUGAUCGGGGGGGCAACCCUCCGHGACGGAAUAUUUGAAUGUCCUUCUCCCACACGCGUGGGAGAGACAGACGGUCUUGGUUUUGCAYGGCAHGUCGAAAGACGCCSUAUWUCYUGGUCGGUAACGGGUSUGGUGUGGUUUGGGAGAGCCCGGUCUCGUGUGCACUCACUUGCGUGGCGCGUGCGUCGCGCAUAUGUGUGGGCGUGCGGUCCACUCUCCCUGUACUCCCCGACGGGAGCGGUAUGAUAAAGAGGACUGGUCGAGGGCAUUGGUAUUGCUGGGCGAGAGGUGAAAUUCUAUGACCCCAGCAAGACCUCCUGAAGCGAAAGCGUUUGCCAAGGACGUUCCAUUAAUCAUCCAGGCGUGGAGCCUGCGGCUUAAUUUGACUCAACACGGGCCAUCUCACCAGGCCAGCACUCUUGCACGAUUGACAGAUUGAGAGUUCUUUCCUGAUUCAGUGGAUGGUGGUGCAUGGCCGUUCUUAGUUGGUGGAGCGAUCUGUCUGGUUAAUUCCGAUAACGAACGAGACUCUCCCCUGCUAAAUAGUCGGUUGGAUCUUGCGUCAAGUGAGAGUUGCCGAGGCUCGCGCGUCUGUGUGCUCAGCGGUUGCUUCCGUGUGUGUGCUCGCCACUCUGUGGUGGGUGUGCGCUCGCGUCGUGGCGCUCGUGUGCGUUCGUGUCGACCGGAGCACUCCAAGUCCGCCGCUUGCUUCCCCGAGUGCGCAAGUGCGAGGGGUUGUAAAACUCUUSUUAGAGGGAUUCACGGUUCUGAAGCCGUAAGAAACUGAGAGCAAUAACAGGUCUGUGAUGCCCUUAGAUGUUCUGGGCCGCACGCGCGCUACAAUGCCGGGCUCAGCAGGUGUUCUUCCUUCUCCGAGAGGAGUGGGUAACCCUUUGAAAGCCCCUCAAACACAAUGUUAACUCUCGCGCGCACCUCGCGGUGUGCGUGAGCGCGCACGGCUUGCUUGGGCCUGGGGCUUGCAAUUCUUUCCCACAAACGAGGAAUGCCUAGUAGCGGCGGAUCACUGAGUUCGCUGUGACUCAGUCCCUGCCCUUUGUACACACCGCCCGUCGCUACUACCGAUUGGGUGUACCAGUGAGGUCUUUGGACUGGCGAGCCUGGCGUGCGCGCUUUACCGUGUCGCGCGCCAGUGCCAACGACGGAAAGAGGCUCGAACUGCUGUAC